rnacentral:rRNA from 1 species
AGUGAACGCUGGCGGUAGGCCUAACACAUGCAAGUCGAACGGCAGCACAGGAGAGCUUGCUCUCUGGGUGGCGAGUGGCGGACGGGUGAGGAAUACAUCGGAAUCUGCCCAGUCGUGGGGGAUAACGUAGGGAAACUUACGCUAAUACCGCAUACGACCUUCGGGUGAAAGAGGGGGAUCGCAAGACCUCUCGCGAUUGGAUGAGCCGAUGUCGGAUUAGCUAGUUGGCGGGGUAAUGGCCCGCCAAGGCGACGAUCCGUAGCUGGUCUGAGAGGAUGAUCAGCCACACUGGAACUGAGACACGGUCCAGACUCCUGCGGGAGGCAGCAGUGGGGAAUAUUGGACAAUGGGCGCAAGCCUGAUCCAGCCAUACCGCGUGGGUGAAGAAGGCCUUCGGGUUGUAAAGCCCUUUUGUUGGGAAAGAAAUCUUUCAGGCUAAUACCCUGGGAGGAUGACGGUACCCAAAGAAUAAGCACCGGCUAACUUCGUG